rnacentral:rRNA from 1 species
UACGUAGGCAGCGAGCGUUGUUCGGAUUUACUGGGCGUAAAGGGCGCGUAGGCGGCCAGCACAAGUCAGUUGUGAAAUCUCCGAGCUUAACUCGGAAAGGUCAACUGAUACUGUGCGGCUAGAGUGCGGAAGGGGCAACUGGAAUUCUUGGUGUAGCGGUGAAAUGCGUAGAUAUCAAGAGGAACACCUGCGGCGAAGGCGGGUUGCUGGGCCGACACUGACGCUGAGGCGCGAAAGCCAGGGGAGCGAACGGG